rnacentral:rRNA from 1 species
GAUGAACGCUAGCGGCAGGCCUAACGCAUGCAAGUCGAGGGGGAAGUUACUUUCGGGUGACUGAGACCGGCGUACGGGUGCGUAAUGCGUAUACAAUCUGCCUUUCACUGGGGGGUAGCCCGAAGAAAUUUGGAUUAAUACCCCAUAGUAUAUAGGGACGGCAUCGUUUUUAUAUUAAAGCUUAGGCGGUGAAAGAUGAGUAUGCGUUCUAUUAGCUAGUUGGAGAGGUAACGGCUCCCCAAGGCGAUGAUAGAUAGGGGUUCUGAGAGGGAUGUCCCCCACACUGGUACUGAGAUACGGACCAGACUCCUACGGGAGGCAGCAGUGAGGAAUAUUGGACAAUGGUCGGAAGACUGAUCCAGCCAUGCCGCGUGCAGGAUGAAGGUCUUAUGGAUUGUAAACUGCUUUUGUAAGGGAAGAAUAAGGGCUACGCGUAGUUUGAUGACGGUACCUUACGAAUAAGCAUCGGCUAACUCCGUG